rnacentral:rRNA from 1 species
CACGUAGGGUGCAAGCGUUGUCCGGAAUCAUUGGGCGUAAAGAGCUCGUAGGCGGCUUAGUAAGUCGGGUGUGAAAACCCCAGGCUCAACCUGGGGACGCCACCCGAUACUGCUAUAGCUAGAGUCCAGUAGGGGAGUGUGGAAUUCCCAGUGUAGCGGUGAAAUGCGCAGAUAUUGGGAGGAACACCAGCGGCGAAGGCGGCUCUCUGGGACGGUACUGACGCUGAGACGCGAAAGCGUGGGGAGCGAACAGG